rnacentral:rRNA from 1 species
GGUUAAGUGAAUAAGGGCGCACGGUGGAUGCCUUGGCACUAGGAGCCGAUGAAGGACGGGACUAACACCGAUAUGCUUUGGGGAGCUGUACGUAAGCUAUGAUCCAGAGAUUUCCGAAUGGGGGAACCCAGCAUCUUUAAUAGGAUGUUACGAUUGUGUGAAUACAUAGCACAUUCGAGGUAGACGCAGAGAACUGAAACAUCUAAGUACCUGCAGGAAGAGAAAGAAAAUUCGAUUCCCUGAGUAGCGGCGAGCGAAACGGGAAAAGCCCAAACCAACAAGCUUGCUUGUUGGGGUUGUAGGACUCCAAUAUGGUCGUUCUUUCAGAUAGUCGAAUGACUUGGAAAAGUCAGUCAAAGAGGGUAAAAACCCCGUAGACGAAAUGUGGAAGACACCUAGGAG